UGUGGGAAUAUUGCACAAUGGGGGAAACCCUGAUGCAGCAACGCCGCGUGAGCGACGAUUGGCCUUCGGGUUGUAAAGCUCUGUCUUCGCUGACGAAGAAGGACGGUAAGCGAGGAGGAAGCCACGGCUAACUACGUGCCAGCAGCCGCGGUAAGAA
rnacentral:rRNA from 1 species